GACGAACGCUGGCGGCGUGCCUAAUACAUGCAAGUCGAGCGAAUCUUGAGGUGCUUGCACCUCUUGGUUAGCGGCGGACGGGUGAGUAACACGUGGGCAACCUGCCUGUAAGACUGGGAUAACUUCGGGAAACCGGAGCUAAUACCGGAUAAUCCUUUUCCUCUCAUGAGGAAAAGCUGAAAGUCGGUUUACGCUGACACUUACAGAUGGGCCCGCGGCGCAUUAGCUAGUUGGUGAGGUAACGGCUCACCAAGGCGACGAUGCGUAGCCGACCGUAGAGGGUGAUCGGCCACACUGGGGCUGAGACACGGCCCAGACUCCUACGGGAGGCAGCAGUAGGGGAUCUUCCACGAUGGACGAAAGUCUGAUGGAGCAACGCCGCGUGAGCGAUGAAGGCCUUCGGGUCGUAAAGCUCUGUUGUUAGGGAAGAACAAGUACCGGAGUAACUGCCGGUACCUUGACGGUACCUAACCAGAAAGCCACGGCUAACUACGUGCCAGCCGCCGCCGUAACAC
rnacentral:rRNA from 1 species